rnacentral:rRNA from 1 species
GAUGAACGCUGGCGGCGUGCCUAAUACAUGCAAGUCGAGCGAACAGACGAGGAGCUUGCUCCUCUUACGUUAGCGGCGGACGGGUGAGUAACACGUGGAUAACCUACCUAUAAGACUGGGAUAACUUCGGGAAACCGGAGCUAAUACCGGAUAAUAUAUUGAACCGCAUGGUUCAAUAUUGAAAGACGGUUUUGCUGUCACUUAUAGAUGGAUCCGCGCCGCAUUAGCUAGUUGGUAAGGUAACGGCUUACCAAGGCAACGAUGAGUAGCCGACCUGAGAGGGUGAUCGGCCAAACUGGAACUGAGACACGGUCCAGACUCCUACGGGAGGAAGCAGUAGGGAAUCUUCCGCAAUGGGCGAAAGCCUGACGGAGCAACGCCGCGUGAGUGAUGAAGGUCUUCGGAUCGUAAAACUCUGUUAUUAGGGAAGAACAAAUGUGUAAGUAACUAUGCACGUCUUGACGGUACCUAAUCAGAAAGCCACGGCUAACUACGUG